ACGUCAGAACUGUUUCGGUCUUCCAUCAGGGUUUCCCCUGACUUCAACCUGAUCAAGUAUAGUUCACCAUCUUUCGGGUCACAGCAUAUAUGCUCAAGGUACGUUCCAGUUAGAGGUAUAAAUAAUAUAAAUAUUAUUAUACAUAACUAUAUAGAGCGCCCCGGGAUUGAAUUAAUAAACUAUAUAAAAUAAUUUAAAAACUAAUCCCAUUGGUAGUCAAGUUAAUUACGCCAUUAGGUUU
rnacentral:rRNA from 1 species